rnacentral:rRNA from 1 species
CGGUGGUGUCCACCUCUUCCCAUUCCGAACAGAGAAGUUAAGCCCACCAGAGCCGAUGGUACUGCGGUAACACGUGGGAGAGUAGGUCGGUGCCAGAU